rnacentral:rRNA from 1 species
GACGGGCCCGCACAAGCAGCGGAGCGUGUGGUUUAAUUCGAUGUUACACGAAGACCUUACCAGGGUUUGACAUGCAAGUGGUAGGAAGCCGAAAGGUGACCGACCCUUCGGGAGCUUGCACAGGUGCUGCAUGGCUGUCGUCAGCUCGUGUCGUGAGAUGUUCGGUUAAGUCCCGCAACGAGCGCAACCCUCGACCUUAGUUGCCAGCAUUCAGUUGGGCACUCUAAGGUGACUGCCGGCUAAAAGUCGGAGGAAGGUGGGGAUGACGUCAAAUCAUCAUGCCCCUUAUGACCUGGGCUACACACGUGCUACAAUGGGCGGUACAAAGGGUCGCGAACCCGCGAGGGGGAGCCAAUCCCAAAAAGCCGCUCUCGGUUCGGAUUGCAGGCUGCAACUCGCCUGCAUGAAGCCGGAAUCGCUAGUAAUCGCAGGUCAGCAUACUGCGGUGAAUACGUUCCCGGGCCUU